UAACGCGUGAGGAACCUGCCGUUUCAGAGGGGGACAACAGCUGGAAACGGCUGCUAAUACCGCAUAACACAUAGGUGUCGCAUGGCAUUUAUGUCAAAGAUUUAUCGCUGAGAGAUGGCCUCGCGUCUGAUUAGCUAGUUGGUAGGGUAACGGCCUACCAAGGCGACGAUCAGUAGCCGGACUGAGAGGUUGGCCGGCCACAUUGGGACUGAGAUACGGCCCAGACUCCUACGGGAGGCAGCAG
rnacentral:rRNA from 1 species